AUAAGAGCUCAAGAAUAGAUGGCAGUGGAUAGAAAGCUUUGGGGAUUUUUUUACUCAUAGUCCUACAGUUAAGAGAUAAAGGGCAGCUUUCAGGAAUUAUCUAGCUGUUGUCAUUCCUCCCCUUUAUGAAAUGUGCUGAAGCAAGGCAUCACAUCCCAGGAGAGUUUCCUAUGAGCAUCCAUUGGGAAUUACCACCAGGAUGCUUCCUGGACACUCCAGGGACCAGUUUGGCUGGAAUUUCUCUUGUGUUUUGCACAGCACAUGCAGAGCCAGGAAUGGAUCCACACACAUACACACUGUACGAGGGAAAGCUGAAGCUGUAUGUUCUGGAUUUUCUCCUAGUAUUUCUUUACAGCUUGAAGUUGAAAAACUGGUCCUUAUCUCCUGAGCUCUAUCAGGAGUGGCAUCAGUGUCAGUUUCAUCAGGAGCACACCUUCUGGAAUGGGAGUGCUGCCCUGCAGGUGCCAAAACACAGGUGUUUAAGGACAUCUGAGAUGCCCUGGGGAUCCCACCUGGCCUCUCUCUGCUGAUCCAAAAGGACACAAAACCCUUUAGAUGGUAUCCCAGCUACCCCAAAGCAUUUCCAGUGACACAGAGGUUACUCCUAAAGGUUUGGGGUUUUAUUUUCAAUUUUUUUUUUCAUUUCGAAUGUCAUUAAUUGGUGUUUGAAUUAAACCAGUGAUGUGCAUGUAGCUCCAGGUGUUUUAUUGUCCAGGUUUAUGUGUUUUUUUGGGGAUCCACUACUCUGGAAGAAGGAGUAUGACCUUGUUUCUCUGGGACAGUGGUUGAUGUUGGCCACUCUCUGUCACAAGGAGGUCUACAUUAUAUUUUUAAUUCACUGGUAACCGCAAAGAAAUCCAGAGGAGAAAAAGAAGGAAUAACAAAACAAGAACAUUAGGAGCUGGAAGGGAUGGUGAGAGGAAAGACUUCCAAAAGUAGAGAGGUAAAGGAAGAGCCAUUAUUCAAACCUCAGGCUCCUCUGGAAGGCACACAGCAGAGCAAAGGCUCCCUCUCAGUCAUGGGAUGCCUGGUGCAACACAACUGCCUCCAGAAAACCUGCAGGUGAAAUGAAGUGGAAGAAACAGAUAAUACACAGGAAAAUGUACCCCUUGACAAGGAUCUUAGUUAUGAAAGUGCUUUAUAGGGUAAUAAAUGCUCAGUAGCAAGUUUAAAAUAAAAAUAA
rnacentral:lncRNA from 1 species